rnacentral:rRNA from 1 species
UACCAGCACCCCGAGUGGUCGGGACGUUUAUUGGGCCUAAAGCAUCCGUAGCCGGUUCUACAAGUCUUCCGUUAAAUCCAGCUGCUUAACAGAUGGGCUGCGGAAGAUACUAUGGAGCUAGGAGGCGGGGGAGGCAAGCGGUACUCGAUGGGUAGGGGUAAAUCCGUUGAUCCAUUGAAGACCACCAGUGGCGAAGGCGGCUUGCCAGAACGCGCUCGACGGU